GCCGCAAUAAGACAUUGAAUGCAUAUGAGAGUAAAGUGUGCCACGGACCAAGAAACAUAUAAAAUGGAAAUUAAAAUAUUCGUUAGAGUUAAAUGAGAGCCCCCUGAAGGUGUUGGACAUAUUUUACACUGAUUCACUGGUUGGAAAAGGGGAUUCAAAUUGCUAACUUACAAUCCGGAAUUCAUUUUUACUUUGACUCUUAUUAACACGAGUGGCGUAGCAUGACCGGGUGACACUCGAGACGGUUGUCUUAGGUGUCACUCCUCCAACAAAACAUUGCUACCGAGCCUUGGUUUCGUUUUUUAAUGAAAAAUAAAAUUUAUCGAACCCAGAAACUUAUUUAUUUUAACAUUAAUUGAAACGAACAAGAAAUCACAAAAUCUUUACGAGACUCGAUUUAAAAGCAGCAAAUUUCCUGAACACAAAAUCAAUAUAAAUAGACAUUAUUACAUUGACUUUCAAUUCCAUAUAAAGCCAAUUUAUGUACCACGUUGAGCCUUGCAUUGGUCCAUUAGGGGAGGCAAUGGAUUUUCCGUCUGUUUCACGCCGGACUCAUCCGUCCAACAGCCAGAGAAUUUUGCAAUCUCUCAUUUGCCUUUCGGAAUGACGUUAGAUGGUGGGAGAAUCAAAUUGGAAACUUUUGCUUGAGCCAGCGAGUGUCUCUGUGAAAUUAUUCACUUUUCACUCAAAUAGCAAUCAUUGAGCCUCGAUCGCGACAGUAAAAUAUAGUGUGAAACGAUCUAAGCCAACACAAAGGACCAUAUUAACGCAAGUUAUUGGUGAGCGGGAAGGUGGAUUCAUGUACACUUGAAUGCUGACAAGGAAAAGAGUACAAGGGAAAAUAAAAUCAUACAUACACGCAGAUUCAGUCUAUUUUGACUCAUUCGUUAUUUUGUUUCGUGCGAUCCUUCCAAAGGAGUAUUCAUUCAUUGAAUGUUGCUGUCCACUCUUUGUUUUGUUAUGUUCGCUCUCAGUCCCGAAUGAAGAUGGUCGGAGAAUGAAAUAUGGUUCAUCGUGCAAUCUCACGAUUGCUUGCUGCAUUUUUUUCGCCAUGAUUAUUUCAAGCAGAUACAAGAGUGAUUUAUAAUUAGGUGUGGAGAAAUGAACGAAUGAACUUUUCCAUACUUGCCAACAGCUAGAAAAUAUUUUUUUGGAAAGUCAUCUAUCGUUUUAUCGGACUCUAGCUGACCCGACAAACUUCGUCCCGCCCAAAAUUUAUUUUUCGUUGCAAAUAUGGAGCAAAAUAAAGAGAAAAUCCGACAUAUUUUACAGUACUACUAUGACAAAGGCAAAAAUGCAUCUCAAGCUGCCAAUAAAAUUUGUGCAGUUUACGGACCCGAUACAGUUUCCAUUUCCACCGCACAAUGAUGGUUUCAACGUUUUUGUUCUGGUGUAGAGGUCGUCGAAGAUGCGCCACGCUCCGGAAGGCCUGUCGUCAAAAAUUGCGACAAAAUCGCUGAAUUAGCCGAGAAAGACCGGUAUAGUAGCAGCCGUAGCAUCGGCCAAGAGCUGGGGAUAAGUCAUCAAACCGUUAUUAACCAUUUGAAGAAGCUUGGAUUCACAAAAAAGCUCGAUGUAUGGGUGCCACACACGUUGACGCAAAAAAAUAUCUUUGACCGUAUCGACGCAUGUGAAUCGCAACAAAAUCGACCCGUUUCUGAAUCGGAUGGUGACUGGCGAUGAAAAGUGGGUCACUUACGACAACGUGAAGCGCAAACGGUCGUGGUCGAAGCCCGCUAAGCGGCUCAGACGGUGGCCAAGCCCACAUUAACGGCCAGGAAGGUUCUGCUGUGUGUUUGGUGGGAUUGUCAAGGAAUAAUCUAUUAUGAGCUGCAUCCCUAUGGCCAAACGCUCAAUUCGGACCUGUACUGCCAACAACUGGACCGCUUGAAGGUAGCACUCAUGAAGAAGAGGCCAUCUUCGAUAAACAGAGGCCGCAUUGUCUUCCAUCAGGACAACGCCAGGCCACACACUUCUUUGGUGACGCGCCAGAAGCUCCGGGAGCUCGGAUGGGAGGUUCUUUUGCAUCCGCCGUAUAGUCCGGACCUUGCACCAAGUGAUUACCACCUGUUUUUGUCCAUGGCGAACGAGCUAGGUAGUAAGAAGUUAGCCACAAAAGAGGCCUGUGAAAAUUGGCUAUCCGAGUUUUUUUGCCAAUAAGGAAGCGAGCUUCUAUAACAUUAUAGAAGGGUAUUAUGAAGUUGGCAUCUCGUUGGGAACAAGUCAUCGAACAAAACGGCGCAUAUUUGACUUAAAACAGAUGAUUGUAACUAAUUUUAUGAACAAAUGAAAAUUCAAAAAAAAUACCGCAGGACUUUUUUUGACUAAUAUUUUCAAAAUAAUGAUGUACUUGGAAAAGUUGUUGGAAUUGUCAGCAAAUUCAUGAAAUUUCAUGAACAUGACGGUAUAACACGUCAAACAUAUUCAAAGGGUUUAUUUACUAUAAACAAGACAAUAAAUUAAAAAUAUUUUUUUUAAAUAUCUCGAGAAUGGUUGCAUUUAGAAGAAGAUUUAUAAAGAGCUUUUUUUAUUUUAAAUCACAUUAGGAUUCAUAAUUUGUGGCUAAAAAUCAUACAAAAGAUACUAUUUCGGUAGGACUCAUAGUUUUUGAGGUAUAAAUUAUCAAAGAUUUCCCUUACUAAAUUCGAUACGACUUCUUCAACCCAAACGAAAUACAACCUUCAUUCGAAUCAAAAACACUCAUGUUUUGUCAUUUGUCGAUUUCAUUUGGAAUUGCUCCAUAUCUACAGAAUAAUCUGUAUUUAUACAAAUUUUUCAGACUUUUUGAAACCAAAAAUCUGUAGAUACAGGUUACAGAUUUUUUUGGUUCUCAUACAGAUUGACAGAUUUUUCAAAAUGACGAUCUAAUAUUAGUUUAUCUUGCUUGAUUUCAAUCAUAUUUUUUUUCAACCCACCAAUUCUAUUCGUAUAGCUUUCGAAUCAGUCUGAAUGAGCGUCAUUUUUGCAUUCAUAUGUAGCGUGUAGUACUGGUUUCCCAUAUUCAAUCUAAGACGAAAAGAUGUAAAAGUCUGCGUCAUCGGCUAACUUUACAAGAAAUAAAUAAAACUGUUUAUCUUUUUUCCUACUAAAGCACAGUGAAUGCGAAUUUUUACGUGGAUACCAUCAACAUCGUCAAAACCAUAAUAACUAUGACAAUCAAAGAUACUAAAGUUAAGAUUAUCCUUCAAAGUUGAACUUAUAAGUUUAACCCUUUGCGGUCAUAUUAAAUUUCUGGUCGCAAUUAUCUUUACAUGAAAAAGUAGUGACGUAUAACUUUGUGAGAUUAUGAAAACUGAACAAGAUUCCUUUAUUUUUUGUAAACUUCUGAUAAGUAUUUACUAAUGUUUAUGUCUAAAAAAUAUUUGCUAUAAUUCUUCUUCGUGAGAUAUCUUUCGCAUGUAUCACAAAAAAUAUUAGUUUAGUGUCUUUCAUCUUUCAUUUUUCUGUUUGAACAUACGGAACAAAGCUCUACAAAGGGGCGCAGUACGUGGAGUUUUCUAUUAUUUUUUUAUUUUUUGAAGCAUGGAUGACAACUUUUGUUUAUAUUGACUAUUAUUCAUAGUAACACCGUUUUGAUUCGUAAAUAAGUUCACAAGACAUUAAAAUUCGUUUAGAAAAAUGUGAACUGACGCAUUGUUGCAUAAAUUAUAAUAUUAGUAUAAUUCUUUGUUGUGGUGGUUGAUAGCAGACAAACGACCGCAAAGGGUUAAUCCGUAUUUCGGAACAGAUAUUCUGAGACAAAACUCAGAUAAAAAUAUUUUUUGAGAUCAAAAACACAGAUUUUAUUAUGGCAACCCUGAUGACUGAUGACCACUCUGCAUAGUAUUUUCAGUAUUCGAUUCGAUCGACUAAUUGUCUUUCAAUAUUCGAUUUAUCGAGCGAAUAUUUAUUUAUUGAAAUAAUCACGUUUCACGUUGUCAUUCUGGUCGCGUGGCGUAUCGGGUUGUCGAUGUUAGAUGGUUAGAUAAAAAUUUUGGAUAAAAAAAAUUAUAUAGCAUAAUUUUUAACCUAAAAAUGCAUUAACCUUGAAGAAGAUUCCUUCUUUCAUUAAUCGCGAUUACAGUGACAAUUAUUCGAUGUAUUCAUAUUUAGAUUUUAAUUUAGGGGCUGUCCACACCAUGUGGACAGAAAAAGCAUGAUUUUAGACAUCCCCGUCCCCCUCCGUGGACAAGCGUGGACAUUCCUUAUACCCCCCCCCCUGUUGUCCACGUGGACAUUCCUCCGGUUAUGAGGAAAAAAAUCAAGAAAUUGUAUUUUUUUCGCCUAAAUUUCAUUUCAAGUUUGUUUCUAUUUUCUUCCAUAUUUUUAUUGAUAAAAAUUAUAGCCUUACGAAUGGUAACGAUUUGUCUUGAAAUCUUCGAUUUUUUUCAUCAUUGUCCGGGAGAUCAUUAUUUGCUUCCGAAUUCCAUUUACGUUAUCACCAUAUCCAUUUUAAAAUAUCGAUUGUGAACUUAUUCUCGAGUAUUUUUAUUAAAGCUGGCUGUUUGAGUUUUCAAAAAAUCAGACAAUGAAAUCAAGCACUUUGUUUGAAAACUGAAUUUUCUCGUCUAAACAUCAAUGACUUUCGCUUUCACAGAUUCGGUAGUUUCUGAUGGCUCUAAUGAACUUAGUAAAAACGAAACAUUUGCAGUAUCAUCGUGAUUGAUGAUUCCGUUGACCUACAACUCUCAAUUGUUAAAUCAUGCUAAAUAUUGUCCUGAAAAAUUCGUGCCGAUUCUAAGGGAAAAACCAAAAGUAUAUUUUUGUAGACAUACAUUUUUUCGAUCAUAGAUGCACCGUUUUUUUCCUGAAUAUUUCAGCAUCCUCCAUGGAACUUGAGAAUUCCAUCCUCUCAGAACUCAUGCUAUGCAGUAAGUUGAAGUUCUUACAAGAAUCUUAACAGUUAAUAAUCUGAAAAUGCAAUAUCUGGUGAGUAAGGCGGGUGGAGUUUUAGAAGUGCCCUAGAAGCGUUCUGGAUCGUUGAUUUUAAUACGUUAAACUGCUAGCAGUACUUGUUGGAAUUAAUCGAAACUAGUUGCUUGGUAGAAGCUCAUGAUAUAGAUUUUCUUCCAGUCCUAUCAGACCCAGCUAUAAAUUUCCUCAAGCAAAAACCUGCUUCGAGGUUCCAUUCACUUGCUAAGAUUCUAAAAACUCAACAUUCUCAUUCACAUUUCAUUCGCUACAAAUAUGUAUUUUCGUCGCGUUUAUGAAACGAAUCGCAGUAUGAGAUAAGGCCCUUCAAGUGUUUUUCGGUAAAAUAAACCCUUAUUCCGGAAUCUGGUCGGAUUUGAAAUUAGCACAAUGUUGCGUUCUUUAAAAGAGAAUUCUAGUCUAGAAAUUUGAAAAAAAUCAUUUUUUUUCUUCAUAUUUCUCUAAUUCAGACAUUAUUUACCAAGUUAUAGAUAUUUUAGUGAUUCGAUAUUUUAUCUAGUACGGCCAUAACAAUUAACUUCAAACGCGUUUUUCUCGAAACAUGUUUUUUCAAACUGGCUUACACGAUUUCUAAAGUUCUACUUAUCCGAUCUAUGUUUAUAUGAAUACAAUCUGUGCAUCUCUCUAUCGCAUGAAUCUAUAAAAAAUCAUAAUUUCGUAACUUUACUAUUUUUAAAAAAUCAAGAAACUUGAAAAAAAUGUUUCAAACAGCAUUUUUUCCUUCAAAUUUCCGCCAUUUUGUCAAAAAACACGUCUUUGACUUGUCCGAGGUAUGGAUGGUAAAAAUAUUUUUUGUUUUACUUUUUCGGAGCACGAAGAAACGUCCGAAAUUCGUGUCUCUAUCCCCCUUAAUCUGAUCGAGUCAAAUCCUAUCGGAUUGUUCAAAUGUUGCAACCUUGAAAUACAGAAUGCAAAGGUUUAUUUCGUUCUGAUUGCGAUAUGUCAAAUCCUAUCGGGUUCCGUAAUAUGGGUUAAUAUGUAGUCCAUGCAUACGGAAUGUUUGCAUGUUGCAUGCAUGUUUUUCGUGAUGUUUCGUUUCUCAUGAACAGUGAUUUUCGACAUCGCGAAUCCUUAAUGCAUGUGCAUUAAAGAUUAAUCUUUUCUUUUAAUUAAUCAUCAGUAGGAGCAUGAACUUUCCAGACAACUCAAAAGAAGCGUAUUACAAAAAUUACCAGACAUCAAUGAAGAACAACAUCAUUGCAAGAAAUAGAUCUCCAGAGAUACGGCCCGUACACUCAUGGAAGAAUUUGUUGUUCGUUUCAAUGUUCAGAAAUCCUUGAGAGUUCUCGAAAAAAAAACCAAACAGUUUUGUCAUCAAGAGCAAAAGCUGAAUUCAACCCGCACUUAAGUCGUGAUUUUUAAUACUACAAAAAUCCAACAUUCUUUGUGUUAUUGGGUGUCUUUAUCCUGCCGGAUUUAAUGGCCCUCUAUUACCAAUUGGAAUAAAUUGAUGGAUCCUAGUUCAUGUGGGUUACCUUCAGAAUAUACAUUUCAGGAAAGAGGUCCAAAAAAUCGUGUAAAAACAAAACAGAUCUCAUUCAAUUUUGACUAUUAACUUGAAUGUUUUACUUUAAAAAAUACUUAACGUGUCCACGUGGACAUUAUCAAAGCCCCCUCCCCCCUCACCGUGGACAAGCGUGGACAUUUUCGUAACCCCUGCCCCUCCUAAAGUUGUCCACGUGGUAUGUGGACAGCCCCUUAUUCGAUACGUAAUUACUGGAUUAUAAUUUUAGAUAUUCGAUUAUUUGAAUUAAUCGAACGAUUAACCGACGUCUCUAUUCACUCCUUGUACAUACAUGCGCUCUGGCGAAUUAGCGCGCUCCGAAACACAGAUCGAAUGUUUUGUUGUCAGCACCGUUUUUGUACCGAGUUUUGCACUGUGUUUUGCACCGCGUUUCUCAACGUAUUUCUAUACCUGUUUUAUACCGCGCUUGAAUCUGGUUUGCUUUGCUUUCUGUUGAGUUAUUUUUCUUGACACAAACGUAUACGAUUGGUAUUAGGAUUGGGCGAUCUUUAUAAAAAGAUCGAUCUUAGAAAAUUUCAAAGUCCAGAAAAAAAAAUAUUAUCCAGGGCAUUCAUCUUGUGCCGUCAGUCGGUAUUAAAUAAAUUAAUUGAAAAAACAUUAUUAGAAUUUCAACAACUGGUAUCUGCCCAGAACUUAUCUGACAACGAUCCCAUGAAGACCAAUCGUGCCAUACGUCUGUCAUUUAGUCGAAGCCGAUUCCUGAAUUUGGUGCCAGAUCUAAAAAGCAACCUUUCGCCUGGAAUCGAUAUCAACAUCUAGUUCAGUGAUCCUAUGAGCCGCUGCCGCUAGUUCUGUAAGUCGUAAAUCGUAGAAAAAACGAUCCAAAUGUUGACAUUAUGUGACAUUAUGACAUUAUUGUUAAGAUCUCUUUGGUGAGAAUAAAAUCGAUGUAUAUUGAAAAGCAAACCUACAAAAAGUUUUUCUAAGAUCGAGAAAAUCGAAAGCAAAAAAAUCGAUUUUCUCGAGUAUUGAAGAUCGAUCCAAAAAAUCGGAAAUCGAAAUGGAAUAAGAGAUCUUUUAGGAAUCGAUCCGAGAUCGUUCAAUCCUAGUUGGUGUGGAAGCGCGUUGUUGUUUCUAUGCUUUGCUUAGAACGAGCGAAGACAAAACGGGCGCCAGAAUUUGAUGUGUGUAUAAAAUGAGGCGCGCAUCACACAAGUGAGAAGCGAUGUUUAGUAUAUGAGUUCUGCGCUGUGUUCAUUCAGCGCUCUCGUGUUUAAGAAUUUGGCACACUUCGUAGCAAGAGAGAAUAAGUGUUUGUUAUGAACGCGCUAAUGAAAAUUGAACUCAAGUGCAGCGCAGCGUAUGUUUUCUGAAGACUGGUGGUCAGGGUGGCCAGUUAAGCCAAACAGAAUUGAAUCUGAAGUUUAUGAUGCUUCGGUCUGCCAGGCCGUUCCACUUUACUCUACUUCAUUUCUCCAUAUGGCUAUAUCAUGCUCAAUUACUUCUCAUUCUCCC